CUCUGACAGGUUGAGAAGUGUAAGGGAAGGUGUGGGUGGAAGUCUGCCCUGCUGUCCCAAUCAUGUAUCUGCAUCUCUCCAGGGACAUCCUUGUCCUGGUGCUAUUCCUAGGGGUCCACUUGUUGGUUGAAGGUGUGCCAACAAGAGUAAAGUCUCCUGGCAGUCUGGGAUCACAGGAGGAGUUACGCAAUGUGGAUGAAGAGGCACAAGAUGCUGGGGUGCUUCAACGACUGUGGUCAGGCAUCAGCACUGGGCUUGGUUCAUUAGCUGGCUAUGGCAUGCAAA